rnacentral:rRNA from 1 species
CCUACGGGAGGCAGCAGUGGGGAAUUUUGGACAAUGGGCGAAAGCCUGAUCCAGCCAUGCCGCGUGCGGGAAGAAGGCCUUCGGGUUGUAAACCGCUUUUGGCAGGAACGAAACGGUGCCGACAAAUACUCGGCGCUAAUGACGGUACCUGCAGAAUAAGCACCGGCUAACUACGUGCCAGCAGCCGCGGUAAUACGUAGGGUGCAAGCGUUAAUCGGAAUUACUGGGCGUAAAGCGUGCGCAGGCGGCUAUGCAAGACAGGUGUGAAAUCCCCGGGCUCAACCUGGGAACUGCAUUUGUGACUGCAUGGCUAGAGUUUGUCAGAGGGGGGUGGAAUUCCACGUGUAGCAGUGAAAUGCGUAGAGAUGUGGAGGAACACCGAUGGCGAAGGCAGCCCCCUGGGACCUGACUGACGCUCAUGCACGAAAGCGUGGGGAGCAAACAGGAUUAGAUACCCUGGUAGUCCACGCCCUAAACGAUGUCGACUAGUUGUCGGAGAUUCACUUCUUCGGUAACGCAGCUAACGCGUGAAGUCGACCGCCUGGGGAGUACGGUCGCAAGAUUAAAACUCAAAGGAAUUGACGG